rnacentral:rRNA from 1 species
AUUGAACGCUGGCGGCAUGCUUUAUACAUGCAAGUCGAACGGCAGCGGGGAGGAGCUUGCUUCUCUGCCGGCGAGUGGCGAACGGGUGAGUAAUACAUCGGAACGUGUCGAGAAGAGGGGGAUAACCACCCGAAAGGGUGGCUAAUACCGCAUAAAUUCUGAGGAAGAAAGCUGGGGACCUAGGAAUAGGCCUAGCGCUUUUUGAGCGGCCGAUGUCGGAUUAGCUAGUUGGUGAGGUAAAGGCUCACCAAGGCGAAGAUCUGUAGCGGGUCUGAGAGGAUGAUCCGCCACACUGGGACUGAGACACGGCCCAGACUCCUACGGGAGGCAGCAGUGGGGAAUUUUGGACAAUGGGGGCAACCCUGAUCCAGCCAUGCCGCGUGUAUGAAGAAGGCCUUAGGGUUGUAAAGUACUUUUGUUAGGGAAGAAAAGUCAGCUGUGAAUAAUGGCUGAUACUGACGGUACCUAAAGAAUAAGCACCGGCUAACUACGUG